rnacentral:rRNA from 1 species
AUUGAACGCUGGCGGCAGGCCUAACACAUGCAAGUCGAACGAGUGGCGGACGGGUGAGUAAUGUCUGGGAAACUGCCCGAUGGAGGGGGAUAACUACUGGAAACGGUAGCUAAUACCGCAUACCAUCGGAUGUGCCCAGAUGGGAUUAGCUAGUAGGUGGGGUAAUGGCUAACCUAGGCGACGAUCCCUAGCUGGUCUGAGAGGAUGACCAGCCACACUGGAACUGAAGCACGGUCCAGACAACUACGAGAGGCAGCAGUGGGGAGUAUUGCACAAUGGGCGCAAGCCUGAUGCAGCCAUGCCGCGAGUAUGAAGAAGGCCGUCGGGUUGUAAAGUACUUUCAGCGAGAAGGCGUUACUCGCAGAAGAAGCACCGGCUAACUCCGUGCCAGCAGCCGCGGUAAUUC